UUAAAUGUUGUCUAAUUGUUUGCCCAUUUAUCAUAUAUAUAUUAUCUAUAUAAUAUAUAUCAUUCCAUUUAUUAAAUAUAAUUAUAAUAUUAAUAUUAGUUUUAAUAUAUGUUAAAACCUUCAGCCUCUUCUCUUCAUCCCCCAAACUUUCAUUUCCCCCAAAUUGUAGACGUUCCCGCCUCUUCCACAUGUUCUCCCCAAACCCAUUUCAUCACUCUCAUCUCAACCAUUUCACAAAGCCAAACCCAGACCCUUACCUCACUAGCUCUCUGUCUCACUCUCAUCUCAGGUAUGUAUUUAAUUUUUGUUUUCUUUCCGCCUCUCACUAUCUCACUAGCUCUCUCUCUGUUUCUCUCACUUCUUCACUUCGUUCUCUCAAGGUACACACACACACACACACAUAUAUAUAUGUUUUUUUUGGUGAAAAGGCUCUCAUUGUGCUCUUAAUAUUCGACUCCCUUAUUUAUGUGUUUUUUUUAUUUAUUUUUUUGGUAAAAAAUGGAAGUUCCCGCCGGUACGUCUCCCCCACCGAGGUCUCUCCAAUAUCGAUUCUCUCUUAGUCAUCUCUCUCACAGUGAUGGGAUUUGAUACAAAUAUGAUGGUGGGCUUCUCUUUAGUUGGGUCAUACACCAGAUCACCUCACACCUCAAGACCCUUAAGUUCAUGCUCCCAAAGAUAACUGAAGGGGAUCAAUAUUGGAUCGAUGCAUGGUGAGCUUUCUUCUCCUUAAUCAUUUUUUUUCUGCCGAUGAGGACAUAUUGAGUGCAUAAGUAGACGUAAUCUUCCUUGUCCACGGAAAUAAAUCAAUAAUUUUGCAUAAACAUUUGCAGUAGCUGUUUAUUUCUCUAUUGAUUCCUCUAGUUAUGUAUGUGGGACUCACAAUAUCUCUUUUUCUAAAUUUGUAAGUAAAGACAUAUUCUAGUUUCGUUCAUAAUAAGUAAAUUGUCUUCUGAUUUC